CUGUUAGAUGCUAAAGAAAGCUCGACGUGUGUCUCAUCAUUUAUAUAUCACAGUCUUCAUCCAUCCACUGAGCCAGUUAAGGAUGUCUUGCUGAAACCCUUGGACUGGAAAGUCCAACUCCUCCCACAUCCAAGUAGGCCAGCAAUCCACAGCAUCAUCUGGGCUGGAUAUGUAAAGUUCAGGCACAUCAUCAUCCGCGUAGAGGAGGUUCCUCUGCCGUCGCCGUGUUCAUGCGUUAGAUGGCGAGGCGGGUGGACUCCUGCUGGACGUCAACCAUGAUGUCCAGAAACGCUGACAAUCCUGCUGGGCGUCCGAUCACACUUCAGCUCAACAGUAUCUGAAGUAUCUACAAGCACCAAGAACAGAUGAAGCUCAGUCAAAGGGAGGGGCAGCGUUCUGGUUGGUCGUCUUGUUGGACGUGAACUUUCACCCCUGGCUCAAGUCUUCUGCAGCCUCCGCCACACUUCUCCACAGCUCAGUCCACAUCAUGAC